rnacentral:tRNA from 1 species
UAGCUCAGUUGGUAGAGUGUUUGUCUCACAAGCACAAGGCCCUGGGUUCAAUCCCCAG